CCUUGGGGAAAUAAAGAGAGAGGAGAGACAAUGGCUGGAGAGACACAAAAUGUCAAAGCCAAAGAUAGUGGAGGAUGAUCUACAAAAGACAUCAAAGCGGGCAAAGAUCACUUUGGAAGAUCUUGACAGUGAUGAUGAGACUCCACAACACCAGAAGACUACAGACUCCAAACAUGACAUCAAAGAGCUGGAGGAGAAGGUUAAGGAAAAGGAUAAGGAAAUAAGGAGGUUGCGUCGGUUAAACCUGCAACUGCAAGAGGGUAGAUAUUAGGGUGCAUCAGUUGCCCCCUAAAAAUGAAAAGUUCCUCCGAUCAUGAUGCAUUUUUGUUUUUAUGUUCCUUUUGGUAAGAAAACACACUGGGUGAAAUAUUUUGACAAAAUUCACAAGUUUAAUGGUGGCACCAGGAGCUCAAAG